AUUGAACGCUGGCGGCAUGCCUUACACAUGCAAGUCGAACGGCAGCGCGGGAGCAAUCCUGGCGGCGAGUGGCGAACGGGUGAGUAAUAUAUCGGAACGUGCCCAGUAGUGGGGGAUAGCCCGGCGAAAGCCGGAUUAAUACCGCAUACGACCUGAGGGUGAAAGGGGGGGAUCGCAAGACCUCUCGCUAUUGGAGCGGCCGAUAUCAGAUUAGGUAGUUGGUGGGGUAAAGGCCUACCAAGCCUGCGAUCUGUAGUUGGUCUGAGAGGACGACCAGCCACACUGGGACUGAGACACGGCCCAGACUCCUACGGGAGGCAGCAGUGGGGAAUUUUGGACAAUGGGCGCAAGCCUGAUCCAGCAAUGCCGCGUGCAGGAAGAAGGCCUUCGAGUUGUAAACUGCUUUUGUCAGGGAAGAAAUCCUCUAGGCUAAUACCUUGGGGGGAUGACGGUACCUGAAGAAUAAGCACCGGCUAACUACGUGCCAGCCGCCGCUGUAA
rnacentral:rRNA from 1 species